rnacentral:misc_RNA from 1 species
AAAAUAUCUCUACUUCUUGCACCUGUGCGUGGACGUCCAAAGCGGGAGAAAUUGCAUUUUUUGGGUGCUUAUAUUAAUCAGGCAUUUUCUCUCAAAUUUAAGUUUCGAAGUUAUGGGAAAAUUCCCCUUUUUGUUGUCUCAUAUGAUUGCUCCCUUUGCAACCAAAGCAAUGGAGUGGAAGAAUCUCAUUUGCCCUAAUUCUCCAUUUGUAUGGGAUGGAAAUAAAAUCUCAGAAUGUUUUGAUAAUAUAGUUUUAGGAUUUGGUGCAAAUGUAGUGACUGUUCUUAUGAUUUCAAUACUUGCAAUUACACUGAGGAACGCCAGAGGAAGCCACAGGAUGAACUUCAGAGAAAAGGUAGUGUUUCAUUUUCUACCUGCACUUGGAGCAUGUUUGUCAUUUGUGGCCAUGGUUUUUCUUUUGAAGAAAGAACUUAAUGGAGACUUUAUUGUAUAUCAUGAAUGGCUUUUCAAAAGUUCUCAAUUGAUACUCUGGACAACCAUCAUAAUUUCUGUAAAGUGGGCCUGUUUCCAUGACUUAUUUUGCAAUUGGCUUCUUUGUAUCUGGUGGAUCAUGAAAGCACUACUGGAAAUUCUUCAUCUGCAUAAAACAUUUUCUUCAUUGGAGGCUUUGGAAUGUCUGAAAGAAAGUUCAGUUGUUUUGUUGGAUAUCAUGUUUGGCAUAACCAUCAAUAUCAUCAGGAUAAAACAGUCAUCUUCCAAGGCCAGUUCAAUGGAAGAUCCGCUUCUUUCUGUUAAUAUGGAUAUUGAGGGAGGUUUUCCUGGGGAUUCUGGAAACACAUGGAGCAGUUGGGAUCUCAUGACAUUCAAAGCUAUCACUUCUGUGAUGAAGCGUGGCGUCAUAAAGCAGCUUGGCUUUGAAGAUUUGCUUUGGCUACCUAAUGACAUGGAACCCUCAACCUGUCAUGAUAGGUUGCUAAGCUUCUGGCGAGCUCAGCAGGGUAGCUCUAACCCCUUCUUGUUUAAAGCAAUCUGUUACGCAUAUGGAUGGCCAUAUUUUUGUAUUGGUUUAUUAAAGUUGUUGAAUGAUUGUAUUGGUUUUGCGGGACCACUGCUUCUCAAUAAACUCAUUCGGUUUCUUCAACAAGGUUCUGCGCAUUGGACUGGCUAUGUUCUUGCAUUAUCCUUGGGCCUUACUUCUAUCUUGAAAUCUUUCUUAGAUACACAAUAUUCAUUUCAUCUUGCAAAGUUGAAGCUAAAGCUACGAUCUGGUAUUAUGACUGUAAUUUAUCAGAAGGUACAUAUAUCAUCUGUUUCUCUUAGGGUUUUAAACAGGAAUGCAUAUAAGCCAAUUAUUUGUACUAUUAUUUCACUGUCUUUGGACCAAUUUGUUGACAAGUUUACUUGGAAGCUAAUUAAAUUAAUGCCUGUUGAAUUAAGUAGGGUAUUUUCAGUCACAAACUUAGUUUGCAAAGACAAGCUGAAUCAAAAUGUUUGGGUGGUUAAAUUUUGGAAACGUGAAUUCUGCACCAUGUGUGAUGUUAAGGACUAGUUUUUAUGCUGCUGCUGUAACAAAAUAUUUCUGAAAUUCUUUAAUGGUCUCAAGUUUCUUGUCAAUCAAAAUCUAUAUUAUGUUUAUAUCAUAGUUUUUUAUAAGAACUAUGAAUAUACGGUAAAGCAUGCUAGCAAUGAAAAGACAAAUGUUCAUAAAAGGAAAUAAAUUUUAUUACAUUCUAUUUCACUCCACCAUGACCUGACAAAUACGGUAGGAUUACAUUAUCUUUAAUAAUCCAAAUUGUUCUUAAAUCUUCUGUGGAAAUUCAAUAAUUCUUUAAUGAUAACAAACUGAUCAUUGAUUGGUUGGGUUGAUUCUUACUGUCAAUUUCGGAUUGACGUGGCACCAAGUUAUGUUCUUGUUAAAUUUGACAUCUUGUUAUUCUAUUACUUAAUAAUUGCUUAGUAAUCUUAUCUUGUUAAAAAUUGUUCACCAUAUAGCACUUUAUGCCUUUUGCUAAGCAUUGAAUAUCCACAAUUCCAUAUUGGCACGAGGUUUGAAAAUUUUGUUGUAAUUUAUAGCUGGAGAUAUAUUAAAUUUAAUUAACUAGUAGCAUUGUAAUUUGAUGCUUUUCAUUUGGCUCAUGUUUAAGUUUGCUUGCUGUCUUACUUUGAGGAAUGUAUAUUUUAACUUUAUUCUUUGUUUACAUAUGAUGCUCUGGGACCUCUCAUCUUCUGGUUUGAUAAAUGAUAACCUGUUUCUGGUUUUUCUUUAGUGACGCAGGUCUUCAUUUUGCUUUGCCCUUUAUGACUUGCCACUGCUUUAUCAUCAGUAUUACAUUCAUUAAUACUUUUUUUUUUAGUGCCUGUGUGUUACCCUAGCAGAGCGAUCCAAAUUUUCUGAGGGGGAAAUACAGACAUUUAUGUCUGUAGAUGCUGAUCGAACUGUCAACUUGUGUAACAGUUUCCAUGAGAUUUGGGGGUAAAGACGCAAUAUUUUAUUACAUAUGAAAGAAAUUUGGAGCUACCAACUUUCAAGUCUGCAAUUUAAUUAGUUGUUUUAAAAGAUCAUCAUCCAGUUUCCCUUUGCUUUUAUAAAAAGUUCUAUAAGGUUCAAUGGUGGAGCAAGAAAUUACUGUUGCAUUUGAAAGUUUGUACUGUUACUAAAGUUAUUGCUUAAUUUUAUUAAGUUCAUCAUUGCAAUGCUCUGACAUUGUUAUUGAUUUUAUUAUUGCCACUAAUGUUGUUCCAUUAAUGUUGCUGCAGUACUAAAUGGUGACAAACUUUCUCUAUCUAUUCUAUUAUUUUCUUUUUCUUGUUGUGUAAAUAUUUUCAGCUUUUGUUGUAUUCUAGAAAUUGAUCAUAUUGCAUUAUUUUGUGAAAAUUAAUUAUAAACAUCAAUCGAUUAUAUGCAACUGCUUCUCAAUCAAAUGGCAUAGAAGCUGGAAAGAAUCUAUAGCUGCAUAUUAAGGCACCAAAGGAAGAAUGCCUAUUAGGGUUUCCAAAAUAUGUUUUUCCAUGGAAAACAUGUGCUUGCUGAAUGAUUGUGCAGCACUACAACACAAUAACAAUAACAACUAAACCUUAAUACCAAACUUGUUGGGAUCUGCUAUAUGGACCAUGGUUUCAAAUAACAACCAUUAUGUCACACAAUAGCCGUUAUUUACAGGUUUUGGGAGGGUCUGUUACACGAUAUAUUGCUAUUUACAGGCAAAUCUGC